rnacentral:rRNA from 1 species
CGCCCCCUGAAAAAUAGGCAUAGGGGGUCCUGCCUGCCCAGUGACUGAAAAGUUAAACGGCCGCGGUAUCUUGACCGUGCGAAGGUAGCAUAAUCAUUUGUCUCCUAAAUAGAGACUGGUAUGAAUGGCAAGACGGAGCUUCACUGUCUCCUCCUCUUUGAUCUGAACUUCACAUUCCCGUGAAGAGGCGAGAAUUAGUUCGUAAGACGAGAAGACCCUGUCGAGCUGUAGCUAAAUUUUAAUUGUUGUUUACUAUUAGCCCUAACUAAUUAUAAUAAGAGUAGCAGGCCUAAAGCAUGACAAAUUAAAACAAGCUUUGAUUGGGGCAAUCCCGGAGAAAGAAAAUCCUCCGCUACUAUAUGGUUAUAUUAACCUAAAAUAAAAGAAUUAUUUUUCUUAAAUCAUAAAAAUGAAGGUAUGAUCCACUUACAGUGAUCAAAAGAACAAGUUACCGCAGGGAUAACAGCGUUAUCUUUUCUGAGAGUUCAUAUUGACGAAAAGGUUUGCGACCUCGA